CUGAUUAUGACACAGAACGGUCCCUGAGACACCAGGUGGUUUUGAAAACAACUGGGGUUUUGUGGCUUGUGAUGAUGGUUCAUCUGAGAUGAUUUUCUUAAGGAGCGAGGAGUAAACAUGGAUCCCCGGGUAGACCAGACAGUUUGGCUUGCAGCAAGGAGGAAGCCGUUCUUGGGGGUGGUAAAUACGUACGUGACGGUGACGCUGAAGUCACAACCGUAUGGGCAGAUCACAGGUGAGAAAGAAUGCCGGAGCAUCUAGAAGCCAUUCUCAAGGUUACACAGCCCUCACACGGAGCUCCCGUGAGGGCUCUUUGCACAUCACUGGAUUAAAUGCCAACAUGUCAUUGAAAAAUAUCAGUACCUUGAUCCGUAAUUUUCUCUUCAACAGCAAAAUACAGAAGCUCAAGUUUCUAAUGAGGGUGUUUCAAAAUUAAACAAUAGUUUGACA